GACGGAAGGUGCAAGCGUUGCUCGGAAUCACUGGGCGUAAAGGGCGCGUAGGCGGCCUGUUAAGUCGGACGUGAAAUCCCUCGGCUCAACCGGGGAACUGCGUCCGAAACUGGCGGGCUUGAAUUCGGGAGAGGGAUGUGGAAUUCCAGGUGUAGCGGUGAAAUGCGUAGAUAUCUGGAGGAACACCGGUGGCGAAGGCGGCAUCCUGGACCGACAUUGACGCUGAGGCGCGAAAGCCAGGGGAGCAAACGGG
rnacentral:rRNA from 1 species